UGUCACUUUUAACAUAUCAAGAAAAGACAAUUAUCUUUUUCCACGUUUUACCUUAAGCAUUAAUUACUUAUUUCCCAAAUCAUUUCCGAGACCUAUUACUAAACAUGAAGUAAUAGGGAUAGUUAGUACAAUAGUCAUGUCAAUCAUUAUUUUUUAAUGGGUGUGCCAAGUCCAAAUGUGACAAGUAAAAGUGAACGGAGGGAGUAGCAUUUAAAAAAUAAAUCUAAAAAAUUUUAUGAGAAAAUUUAAUUUUUAAAAAUAAAUAAAACUAUAUUUCUAUUUCUUCUUUCCAGCUUAAAACUGAAAACCAAACCAAAAAGGAAUUUUUUGAGAAAUGAAAACUGAAAUCAGUUGAAAUACCAUACAAACCAAACAUUAAAUUGAAAUUUUUGACCUGUUGGUUUUCCAGUUAAACCGUAUAAUGCCACGCCCCUAGGCAAAUAGGGUGCUGCUAGUGGCUUGUGCUUAUUUCACUGUGAUCUUUGUUUGAGUUUAUGCAUGCGAAUAGGGCUUGAAACCACAAUUUAUGGUAGAACUGUUUUGUUUUAUCAUGCAGUAAGUACUAUGAUGGUAUGAUUGACUGGAUCAUUUUAAUCUAAUACAAGUUCUCUAAUUAAGUUGAAUUUAGAGUUGCAUAAUUACAUAUAAAGGAUUAAAUGAGUUUUUGAUGUAAUGACAAGGACUAAUUUUUUUUAAAAAAAUCAUUUUUCAUGAAUAGAGACCAGUAUGUUGAAUCUUCGCAUUUGUUAAGAGAUACAACUCUGUUUAUCGUUCUUGAUUCUCUUUCUAUAUCAAUAGUUGAUCAAUCAAGUAUACCUCAAUCCUAGAUUUGUUGGAGUAGGUGCUAUGGAUCCUCCAUAUCCAAUUUUCUCUAUAGAAGUCCAUUUCAUUUCAAUUGAAUAAUUGCCUUCUAGUGCAAAAUAGGGAUUCUCUAAAUCUAUACAUAUCUCAAACAACUUUCCCCCAUGUGUAGAUCUACCCCAUCCCCUUUUAUCGCCUUCCAUCAUCCUAUUCACACCUAUGAAUCGGUGCAUCUGGGAAUCUAUGUUUGACACAGCCAAUCUUAGGUGACCUUCUAUUAUCUAUAGUCCUUCAAUCAACUACACCUAAAUCAAAAACAACCUUCAAUAGUCUUUAAGGAAAUUUAUUUAAUGCAGAAAGUAUUGUUAUCAGUUCCUAGCUGGCUAAUUGAACAUCUGCCAGUCUUGCUUUUUUGUCGUUAGUGCAUGGUGCUGAUAAGUAUUUGUUGUAUCUGGAAAGAGAUCUGCCAGCAGUUCUACUUUUCACUCCAACUUUCUUCUUUUUAUCUUUGUCUGAGCCGUGGGGUGGGGUUGGUUUCCAAUAACGCUUUGAGGUAGUGGCAACAAGCUUCACCUUGAAGCAACGUUUGGUUUCCUGCAACUUAUGGAUCCCAAAACCAAAGGUCUGUGAUAUCAGUCACACCUCACUAUCUUCUAUUCUUGAAGUAAUUGUCUUCCUUUAAUAUUUAAUGUAUCUCCAUCUUUUUCCCCUCAUUAAUUUCUUGGCAUAAGUAAGGCUACUUUGUGAUAUAGAUUGUUUUGGAAAUGGAUGACUAGAUGACUCUUCAAACUUCUCUUAUGUGUCUCUAAAUCAUUCCCCUUUGGAAUGGAUGAUCUUCUUAGAUGCCAAAAGUGGUGUUUGUGUAACUCUAUCAGAGUCAUCCUUUCGUUCCUGCAACUUAUAAAAACCUCAGAAGCAAAUAUCUGUCAAGAAGGCGGUGGGGGUGAUGUGGCAGGUGAGAAGGGGGUGGUAGAGGAGGAGGAGGCAUCCUGGAAUGGAACUAGUUAGAGUUGGCAGAUGAGCUGGUAGAAGCAAAAAAUGAGGAGAAGACAAAGAAAAUGAAAAUUUUACUCCAUCAUACAGACUCUUUUUUCUCACAGAAGGGGAAAGUUGUAGGGGAACUGCCCCACCCAAAAAAUAAAAUAAAAAAUAAAAAAAUAAAAAAUAAAAUCAGGUGUUGUGUUGGGUUAGGCUGAAUUGUGAAUCCAAGGAUUAGUGAAUAACUGGGUGAGAUUUAAAGUUUUGCCUACGUAUCUCUCCUUUGAGACUAUAGCAGGCAUGAUCAUCUUGCUGCCAUGAGUAUUACUUUGACAGAGUAUUCACCAUGUGUUCAUUACGGAACAAGUUUCUUUACAGUUUUGCUUGCUCGGUUUUUAAAUUUCUUCUGUUCAACUUCCCAUAAGUGUCUCUCUGUUGCACUCCCAUUUUACAAUGGUCAUAUCUUAAUGCUAUAACUACUUUCUUGUAUAUAAUUACUUUGAUAUAGUAUUCAUCAAAUGCUUGUUGUGGGAAAGCUUCAAUAAUAUGGAUCAGCUACUUGUAUCGUUAGAAGUUAUUCAGUUUGACAACACUGACAUUUUAUUUCUUAAUUUUCUAUUUUGAGUCGAAGCAAGAAUUUGUCUUUAGACUUGAACACGUGCACAAGCCUGAAAUAAAUCACUUGAUGCUGAUUAAAGUGAGAUCUAAUAUUGAUAAAACUGUUCUCAACCUAGAAGCAAGUUACAUCCAUCUGAUUUCACACAAGGAAAAGAAGGAAUAUGAUUUUAUCCAUCAGAUGCAUCAGCUCUGAUUUGGUACUGCAAAUAUUAAUUUAGUAUCUCCUUGAAUAGGACUAAAUUAUGGCAGCAUUAUUCUGGAUGAUCACAAUAGCUGUGACAUUAUUUAUUCCCUGAAUCUUUCUCUUCCCAUUUUCCCAGAAGGCAUGUAGGAAAAUCUUUUUGGGGUUCAAUUGCAAGUUACCAUUGGGAGAAAACUAUAUUUGAAUUCUUGAUGUACAGAGAAUGGAAGGCCAAGUCAAAACUUAGAAGGAAGUUUGGAUCACGAUGGGCAUCAUCUUGCCAUAACAGCAGCUGAUGCAGAAUCUGUAAAUGAGGUUUCACCUCGGAGUUGCAGAGAGGUGCCUGGGAAUGGUUGGUCUUUGCAUUUUAAUUCAGUUGAGCAGAGUCACUCGUUUAAGGAUAGGAUUAUCUCAGUCAAGUGGGGAGAUAAAACCAAAAAAAUUGGUAUUGAUGGCACAGCAGAAACCAUCAAGGAAGCUAUUAAAUCUUUUUUCAUGUUGAGGAAAAAACGUCCAUUUUGGUUGGAAGAUGAAAAUAGUAUUGUUCGAGCAGUUGAUAGAGAUAUGCCAUUGAGAAACUACACUCUACAUGUUGAUGAAGGCUUGAAAAUAAAAGUCUGCAUGUCUGAGGAGGCCGAUGACUUGCCAGUUCAAACAGAGGAUAAAACCUUUUAUUCUGAGGAUGAUUUUAAUGACUUCUUGUCCCACCGAAGUUGGACAUGUUUAAGAGAGAAUAAUGGGUAUCAGAAUAUUGAUAGGAUGGAUGAGCUUUGCCCUGGUGCAGUCUACCGUGGAGUCAAUUAAGUGUAAGAAGUGCCUCAUCCUCUAGUGUAACUUUUUGCUCAAAGCUCAUUUUGUUGGGUUAAGCUGUUUUUUCCAAAUAUUCAGUGUUUGCAUAAUUUGGGUUCAGGAGUAAGAACAGCAGUCAGCAAUACCCAAGUGUGGGAAAUGGUUGGCGGUAAGGUGUUGUGCUAAAGAAAUUGAAGAUGUUUUGUAGUAAAAGCCACAGCUGUUCAUGUUCUAAACUAUAGGUGUUUAUCUUUUGGCACUCUGGUGAACGUUAGAAAAUGUUUGUCUACAAGUGACAUUCCAAUUGCAAAAGCAUUUUGUUUGCUGUUAUUAUUCAAAAAAAAAACAUUUUGUUUGCUGUUUUUAUUUCAAAGCUGACGAAUUAAGCAGCUUUAAAAUGAGGCAGGAGAGUUGUGCAUGCCUUCUGCCGUUGUAUGUUAGAUAGGUCUUUAUUCUCCUACUUGUAAGCUUUAUAUAGUAUCACUAUCUGUGUAAGGUGUUGUUUGGUUUAAAGACAAGUCAUGCUAAGAUUAGUUAUUCUGGUAUUAUUUUUUAUUGAUUUGUUGAAUUAAAGUGAA